rnacentral:rRNA from 1 species
CACGUAGGGGGCAAGCGUUGUCCGGAUUUAUUGGGCGUAAAGAGCUCGUAGGCGGCUUAGUAAGUCGGGUGUGAAACCUCCAGGCUCAACCUGGAGACGCCACCCGAUACUGCUGUGGCUAGAGUCCGGUAGGGGAGCGUGGAAUUCCCGGUGUAGUGGUGAAAUUCGUAGAUAUUAGCUAGAACACCAGUGGCGAAGGCGGCCAACUGGUCCGGUACUGACGCUGAGGUGCGAAAGCGUGGGGAGCAAACAGG